rnacentral:tRNA from 1 species
UGGCUCAGUUGGUAGAGCAUGGUGCUUGCAAUGCCAAGGUUGUGGGUUUGAGUCCCAG